rnacentral:tRNA from 1 species
GAUGGGUGGCCGAGCGGUUGAAGGCACCGGUCUUGAAAACCGGCAGGGGUUAAUAGCUCCUCGUGGGUUCGAAUCCCACCCCAUC